rnacentral:lncRNA from 1 species
UUUGCUUGUUUCAUCAACCUCCCUGUAGUAGCCAGCCACCCACUAUGGCCUCAUCCUCUGUGCACGCCCUCCUCAGCCUGCUUGGGCUUUGAUACCUGUGAGGUCACAGUGAUAGCUAGUUUUAUGAGUCACCUUGACUAGGCUAAGGGAUACCCAGGUAGCUGGUAAAACAUUGUUCCUGGGUGUGUCUGGGAGGGAGUUUCUGAAAGAGAUCAGCAUUUGAAUCAGUGGACUGAGUAAAGAAGAUCCGUCGUCACCAAUGUGGGAGGGAAAAGAAAAUGCAGGCAGGUGGCACAUUAGUGACCACCCUCCAGAGCCCAGUGCCUAUGAAUACUCAGCAGCUCCAAGGCUGAGACCCUAACCAACUGUGAAGAUGGAUCUGGCAUCCCAAGGCUCACCUGACAGGGAGAGGCAGAGCGCUCAUGAGAUCUGCUUGUUGGAAAGUGUGUAGCACCUCCUCCUUCGCUCUCUUCCUCCUACUCUGCCAUGGUAAGACAUGCUUGCUUGCCCUUCACCUUCUGCUGUGAUUAUAAGUUUCCUGAGGCCUCCCAGUCAUGCUUCCUGUUAAGCCUGUGGAACUGUGAGUCAACUAAACCUCUUUUGUUUAUAAAUUUCCCAGUCUCAGGUAGUUCUUUAUAGCAGUGUGAGAAUGAACAAAUACAGCAGGUCAGGAAGACGACCCCUCACUCUCCCUGGCCCUCCUUCAUGUCCCUGAGGAUGGAUUUCACAACGGGAAUGUAUUAUUGUCACUUCAGAAUUUUACAUAAAUCGUGACUUCUAAAACCAGAUUAAUAACCCUCUUCAAAGAAAU